rnacentral:rRNA from 1 species
UACGUAGGGUCCGAGCGUUGUCCGGAAUUACUGGGCGUAAAGAGCUCGUAGGUGGUUUGUCGCGUUGUUCGUGAAAACUCACAGCUUAACUGUGGGCGUGCGGGCGAUACGGGCAGACUUGAGUACUGCAGGGGAGACUGGAAUUCCUGGUGUAGCGGUGGAAUGCGCAGAUAUCAGGAGGAACACCGGUGGCGAAGGCGGGUCACUGGCUCAUUACUGACGCUCAUGCGCGACAGCGUGGGGAUCAAACAGG